CAAAAAUCCAGUUGCAACAACAAAGGUAGUAAUUUGCAUACUGCUAAGCAGGUCAAAAAGGGUUCGCUUGACCCUAAUGGACAAUGCAUCUGCUCUGUUUAGAGAGUUACAUUGCAGGACAAACUUGAAACACGAAGUCGUAAUCAUUACAAGCAUCAAUCCCAGAGUGUGCAAAGGAAAGCUGAUACUCACCUCAACACCUGCUACCCGCUUUUACUGUGACAGUACUAUUGAUCUUAUACGAAGCUUCAAUCAGAGGAACAAAGUUAGUAAUCACUCAUGAGUGAUCAACUAGGCUUUAGUCUAUAGUGUAUAACAAUAAUUCAUUUUCAUGGCUUAAAAAGAAGUUUGUUGCUUUUUAUGAAACUUCAUAAAACUUUCUAUGAAAAAGAUUUAUAAAACUUUUA